GUCUAAGGCCAUACCACCCUGACCACACCCGAUCUCAUCUGAUCUCAGCAGCUAAGCAGGGUUGGGUCUGGGUAGUACUUGGAUGGGAGAAUUGCUCUCUUUGGCCC
rnacentral:rRNA from 1 species